UACAGAGGGUGCGAGCGUUGUUCGGAAUUAUUGGGCGUAAAGAGCUCGUAGGUGGUUUGUCGCGUUGUCCGUGAAAACUCACAACUCAAUUGUGGGCGUGCGGGCGAUACGGGCAGACUGGAGUACUGCAGGGGAGACUGGAAUUCCUGGUGUAGCGGUGGAAUGCGCAGAUAUCAGGAGGAACACCGGUGGCGAAGGCGGGUCUCUGGGCAGUAACUGACGCUGAGGAGCGAAAGCGUGGGGAGCGAACAGG
rnacentral:rRNA from 1 species